AAAGAUGUGGAUGAAUAGAAUUAAUUUUAUUGAUGAUCAAUUUAAAAUGCCCAAACAAUGUUCACUUCCCCCUUAGGCAUAGGAGAAGGAUUUUAAAGACAUAUAAAAGCAAUUACUUAGAUCGAUGCAAAAUAACAGGAAUAUCAACGACAGUCCAAUUGUUACAUGUCUUUCCAUGCAUUACAAAGUUGGUGUAGUCUUCCUCUU
rnacentral:lncRNA from 1 species